GAAGGAAAGAGUGGGGACAGUUGGCUGCCUGUGCAACUCUCCAGACUAGAAAGAGACCAUUACACAUGUUGUAAAGCCCAGAGGAAUAGUUUUCUGCACAUCUUGCCUGGCAAGUGCUCUUCUACAAUGUAAAACAAACUUCUCUGAAGUACAGAACUUGGUAAUAGCUAAACCCCGCUUGAAAGUAGAAAACGAAGUUCCAGAAAUAGAAGAAGGGCUUGGAAACAAGUAUAAAGUGCCAAAAAAGAGGUAUCAUCAGCAGGAAGAGGGUGAGGACGCACCUGGAAGCCACACACAUUGGAGGACACAGGUUCUUCACUGCAAGUCUGUGAAGCCCAAUAAAAGAAGCUUUGGUGAAAAAGGUAGCCUGUUCAGGACACAGCAGAAUGUGAUUUUUCACUUCUGAAGAAAAGGGAAAUUUGGACACAGAACCAGAGAGGACAGUGCUGUGGACACGCAGACACAGGGAAGAAGCCAGGCGAAGGCAGAGGCAGAGGCUGGAGGCAAGCAUCUACAAGCCAACGGACGGCAAGGAUUUCCAGCCACCACCAGAAGCUGGGGAAGAAGCCGACAACAGAUUCUCUCAGAGCCUCCAGUUAGAACCA
rnacentral:lncRNA from 1 species